CUGGACUAUUUGGAAUGAUACUCAUGGAGUAUCAUUCUGAGAAUUAUGGACUUUAUUUAUGUGAGCUGUAAAUAAAUAAAAAAAAAGUAUGGGCAUCCUCUUUCAUAUUUUGAACUUAUUUAUAUAAGUAGUGGUUAUAGUGGCUUUCUGAUGUGCGCUUUCAACUCUUUUUCCAUCAUUUUUUUCUGUCAUAAAUUCAUUUCUGUCAAAAUAAUUAUCAAAAGUGACCUUACUUGUUCAACAGAAGGAAGAGAACUACAAAGAAGGCUCGAUGCAAGAGCCAAAGAAUGGAAUUGGAUGCCCGUGAGACAAAAUGAAAAAGAAGAAGUUGAAGAAAUUAGGAACAAGAUAUUCGCCUCUCUGCGACAGUAAAGAUCCAAAUGUAGAGUUUGCCAAGUUAUUAAAAGCUAGAGAAGACCUGUACAAACCAAAACUUCUAAUCGACAUGAAUUCAGAAAAAUCAAGAAAGAGAGAAGAAAAGGAGAGAGAAAAGAGAGAUAGAGAGGAUCAAGAUAUUGAGAUUAUAUACAGAGAAGCCGAGAAAUUGAAGGAAAUGGAAGAGGCAGAAGAAUCCAAACGACGCGCUGCAGCAAUGGCAGAGCAGCUGCAGAUGGCUGAAAAAGAAAGGAUGUAUGCAGAAGAGCACCAUCCACCAUCGCCUCCUAGCCCAUCUCCGCCACCUCCAGACGAUUCUUACUCCCCUCCACCUCCGCCAGAGGAAGACUCUCAAUUCAACUCCUUCUAUCAAGAUACAACAGACAGCAAAUCAGGUAAUUCAUGUCUUUGUUUGUAUACCUCUGUUGUAUCUGUGAUUUGUGUAAAGACCACUAUUUUUCUUAGGGAAAACGUUUGUUUGAUCUGUAGGAACAGUGGGAAAAAUCGGAUGGAAAAGGACAAAUAGCUUGGAGAUCAGAGGAGCUUGUAUAUGCGCGAAGUGAGCAAGAGACAAGAGAGAAGUGUAACCUAAAAAAGUAUCAACAGGUAAGUCAGCAAUCACGUAACUCGGUUUACGACAUCGCAGACUUCCUGUCGUACUUUAUUUUUUAAACGGAAAACUACUCAAAGACAAUCUUUAAAACUGCCCUGAUUUUCUUCUCUGUGCGAAGAAAAUUCUGCAUAAACUUCAAAGAAUGAUGUCAAUUUGUUUCUCUUUAAAAAAAACAUAUAGGCGGAGAUUUUCAGACACCGCAAACAAGAUAUGUGAUUGCGACUUAUGCCGACGAUACAUGCAAUGAAUACAAGCGAAAUUGUAGAGCAUCUGUCAUAAGUCAUGAUCGUGUUCAUUUUUCCAGUGUGGGGUGCUGACCUAAGUAUAAAAUUUCUGUGAAUAUUUGUAAAUGAGUAAAGAUAAAACACAGAAGGUAAUUAUAAGAAAAAUGAUGAUUGACUUUGUUUUACAAAACUAAAACAGGAGUGAAGGUUUACCAUACUUCAAUCUAGUAUUAUACUUUUUGACAUCAGUCAUCGAUACUCCUCUUCAUUCUGUUUAGUUUCUGUUGCCAGUUUUGGUGAAUUUACCAUAAAUAUACUGAUUUUUUUUAAUUUGUAUUUUAACUGUCUGGCGAAUUUUCCCCUUUGUCUACGUUUUAUUCUAUUGUUUUAAAGGAUUGAAGGAGUACUCCUCACUGUUCCUGCCUCUGGUGAUAAAAAGAAGAAGAAACUAGACGUAAGAAGUUUUCAAUAAUGAUGAUGAUGACCUCACAUGUUGCAGCUAAGAAAAGGAAACUGGUACCAUAGGUAAGCAAAUAAAUACAGUGAAACCUUGUUAGGUUGUUUUCAAUCAAGGUGGAGAAAUU
rnacentral:lncRNA from 1 species